GGCCCAGACUCCUACGGGAGGCAGCAGUGGGAAUAUUGGACAAUGGGGGCAACCCUGAUCCAGCCAUGCCGCGUGGUGAAGAAGGCCUUUUGGUUGUAAAGCACUUUAAGCGAGGAGGAGGAGCUCUAGAUUAAUACUCUAGAUGCUUGGACGUUACUCGCAGAAUAAGCACCGGCUAACUCUGUGCCAGCAGCCGCGGUAAUACAGAGGGUGCGAGCGUUAAUCGGAUUUACUGGGCGUAAAGCGUACGUAGGCGGCUUUUUAAGUCGGAUGUGAAAUCCCUGAGCUUAACUUAGGAAUUGCAUUCGAUACUGGGAAGCUAGAGUAUGGGAGAGGAUGGUAGAAUUCCAGGUGUAGCGGUGAAAUGCGUAGAGAUCUGGAGGAAUACCGAUGGCGAAGGCAGCCAUCUGGCCUAAUACUGACGCUGAGGUACGAAAGCAUGGGGAGCAAACAGGAUUAGAUACCCUGGUAGUCCAUGCCGUAAACGAUGUCUACUAGCCGUUGGGGCCUUUGAGGCUUUAGUGGCGCAGCUAACGCGAUAAGUAGACCGCCUGGGGAGUACGGUCGCAAGACUAAAACUCAAAUGAAUUGACGGGGGCCCGCACAAGCGGUGGAGCAUGUGGUUUAAUUCGAUGCAACGCGAAGAACCUUACCUGGUCUUGACAUAGUAAGAACUUUCCAGAGAUGGAUUGGUGCCUUCGGGAACUUACAUACAGGUGCUGCAUGGCUGUCGUCAGCUCGUGUCGUGAGAUGUUGGGUUAAGUCCCGCAACGAGCGCAACCCUUUUCCUUAUUUGCCAGCGGGUUAAGCCGGGAACUUUAAGGAUACUGCCAGUGACAAACUGGAGGAAGGCGGGGACGACGUCAAGUCAUCAUGGCCCUUACGACCAGGGCUACACACGUGCUACAAUGGUCGGUACAAAGGGUUGCUACUCCGCGAGGAGAUGCUAAUCUCAAAAAGCCGAUCGUAGUCCGGAUCGCAGUCUGCAACUCGACUGCGUGAAGUCGGAAUCGCUAGUAAUCGCGGAUCAGAAUGCCGCGGUGAAUACGUUCCCGGGCCUUGUACACACCGCCCGUCACACCAUGGGAGUUUGUUGCACCAGAAGUAGGUAGUCUAACCGUAAGGAGGACGC
rnacentral:rRNA from 1 species